AAAAAAAAAAAUGGUUAAGAUGAUGUUACUGGAAUGGAACUGCAUCCUUGCAAAAUCCAUAUAGUAAAGAUUAACCCCCAUGUAUUGAAAACAGGGUCUUUAAAUAGGUCAUCAAGGUUAAAUGAGGUCAUGACUAGGACCCUAAUCCAGUAGAACUGGUAUCUUUAAGAAAGAGGCACCAAAGCCCUCUCUCUAUAUUUGCAAAGAGGAAAGGUCAUAUGAGGACACAGAAAGAAGGCGGCCAACUGUGAGCCAAGAAAGGAGGCCUGACCAGAAACUGACCGUGCCUGCACCUUAAACUUGGACUUUUAGCCUCUGGGACUGUGAGAGAAUUAGUUUCUGCUGUUUAAGCCACCAGUUUUGAUGUUUUGUUGUAAAUGGUAAAUUAUAUGUUAUAUGUAUUUUAUCACAAUUUUAUUUUAUUUUAUUUUAUUUUAUUUAUCUUAUGGCCCAGGCUAGGGGUCUAAUCAGAGUUACAGCUGUCGGCCUAUGCCACAACCACAGCAAUGCCAGAUCCAAGCCACAUCUUCAACCUACACAGCAGCUUGCGACAACGAUGGAUCCUUUACCCACUAAUCAAGGCCAGCGAUCAAACCUAUAGCCUCACAGAGACAAUGUCAGGUUCUUAACCCACUGAGCCACAAUGGGAACUCAUACCACAAUUUUUUAAAAAGUCUAGUUUGACUUGGUUUUCUAUUAUGUAUAACCCAAAGACUCCUCACUAAUAUGCAACUGAUUUAAUUUCAUCCAUUGCAUAAAAAAUCCUACGUGGCCUCUUGUGUUAAUUGGCACAAUACUUUCUAAAUUGUCAGUGAGGUUUUGUUACUUUCUGUGUAUGGGCAUCCCUGGAAAAAGCCACCACACUGGCUGGCCUUCCAAUUUGGCUCAAGAUUUCUUGGGGAAAGAAAUAAUCCCAGGAUGCUCAAAAAACAGAUCCCAUAGCUUCAUUUGUGAAAAUCCUGGGUGUCAGGCCUCAGAUCCUUGAUUCCUGUUCCCAGGAAACCUUCCCAGGAAGACGUCGCCCGAGGCAGCUUUGAAUAAUGAGUUUUCCUUCUCAGAGCCUUCCUAUUCCAUUUCCAGAUGUUCCUAUUUGGAAAUCUUCCCUUAUUUUGUCUCUUGAAGUGCCAGCACUCAGAAAGGGCCCAGCCCCUCUGACAGCCGGUAGGCUUUCUGCUCAAGGGAUUUCACAGCAUCAGGACUCACACCCCAGCCUAUUAGAUGGCAGAAAUCCUUUCAAGGCAAGUUGGGGCUUAUUUGUAACUUAUCUGAGAAACACAUCACAGUGUGUCUUUGUAGCCAGGGAUCCUCAAGCGAGAAAGUAACAGAUGAAAUAACUUAUUAGUCCUUUUCCUUCCCAAGAGUCUCUAAAGCAUGAAAAACUCCACUAUACCUGCUCCUCCGAGCUUUUGCUGUAGAGAUUUCCCAAGAGCCUCCCAGUGCUGCCAGUGUCAGCACACCUGUCUGAGGCAGACGUGCACCAGCAACGGCAAAAUAAUGGAUUCCAUUUACUGAGCACGUACUAUGUGCCAGACACGGUACAAAGUGUUGUACCUGGGUUAUUUCAUGUAUGCCUUAUAGGAACAUGUGAAGUAAACCUAUCAACCUCGUUUUACAGAUGAAGAAACACGGCCUCGUAAAGUACAAGCAGCUCACUCGGAUUUAUUGAUCUUGUCAGUUGGCAGAGGCAGGGCUACCAGACUCAGGUCCGGCUGCUUGCCGCUCGGAAAUCAGUACCUGAGAAAGAGGCAAAUGUUGGUCAAAAGGAAGGUUGCUUUUCAUCAGAAUGCUGGCAGUCUGGGGAGAGGGUGGACUCACUGUCCACCCAAAACCAUCUCCUAAGAUUUAGCUUGACCGUGAAAGUUUUUAAAGGGAAAAAGGAAAGUCAUCUCUGCCAAUCAUUGAUGUAGCGGGCAGCGUCGCCAUCCCCCACUGCCCACAGGCUUCUGAACUCUCUCCUUAGAUGCAAUCUUGUUCAGUUUGUUCGUGAGAUUACUGAAGGGGAAGCUAGGAAAGUGGUCUGUCAUCUGUUAAUUACUUAUUCUUCAGUUCUACUUCUUUGAUCUACAGAAAGAACCAAUAGAUUAGGCAAGGUAUUAUGGGAUCGAAAGAUUUGAAAGGUGUGAGUGGGUCAGAAAUGAGUAGGGCAUGGGGGCUUCUGAUUAAAAUGUAAGCAAUUUGGGAGUUCCUGUGGUAGCUUAGCAGGUUGAGAACCCAACAUAAUGUCCCUGAGGAUGUGGGUUCGAUUCCUGGCCUCGCUUGGUGGGUUAAAGAUACGGUGUUGCCCCAAGCUGUGGUGUAGGUCACAGAUGCAGAUCUGGCAUUGCUGUGGCUGUGGCUGUGGCAGCUGCAGCUCCAAUCUGACCCUGGGAACUUCCAUAGGCCACAGGAAUGGCUGUAAGAAAAAAGGAGAGGAGUUCCCGUCGUGGUGCCGUGGUUAACGAAUCUGACUAGGAACCAUGAGGUUGCAGGUUCGGUCCCUGCACUUGCUCAGUGGGUUAACGAUCCAGCGUUGCCGUGAGCUGUGGUGUAGGUUGCAGAUGCGGCUCGGAUCCUACGUUGCUGUGGCUCCGGCGUAGGCCAGUGGCUACAGCUCCGAUUUGACCCCUAGCCUGGGAACUUCCAUAUGCCGCGGGAGUGGCCCAAAGAAAUAGCAAAAAGACAAAAAAAAAAAAAAAGAGAGAGAGAGACACACACACACAAAAUAUAAGCAGUUUGGCUCCAUGAGAGGUAAAAAAUGUAUUAGUAAAAACUGUCUUAGUCUGCUCGAUCUGCUGUAACAAAAUUCCAUGACAUGUGUGGCUCAAGCAGCGGGGACACCUCUGCCAUCACAAACACCUCUGGAGGUUCAAGGUCCACCCGGCAUAUGCUGUGUGUGAGCUGCAAACGUAGUUUCCAUAGAAUGACACAGUGACGGCUGACUGUGUAACUGACACUGUGUUGUGCAUCCCCCAACACGUACAUGUGCAUGCUCACACACACUCACACGUAAACCACCCAGAGUGAGGAGACCCUUCCUGCCCAUGUUCACGGGAAAUUGACCAUAUCACAGUUACUGAUCCUGAUAACUAAGAUUUUGUUGCGAUUUAAUCCUGAUAUGGGGUUAUCUGUAAUGUCAAUAAUGACCUUAUCCAAGUUGGUUACAAGUUAUUGCUAUAUGGUAUGUAUUAAUGAAUACAUAUAUGUACGUAUGAACCGUGUAUACUAUGCAUUCUAUUUGUGAACGCAACAUAAUUUCUUUAUUCCAAAGUGGGACUUAAAAUAUUUCGCCAGUACUGUAAAGAGAACUGAGUCUUUUAUGCCUGCUCUGUGUUCUUACUCUUUUACCUUUCACAGAUGUUCUUUUGGCUUUCUUGCAGUUCUUGUUCUACAUUCUUCUGGGCUAGAAAUUCUUAAUAUCUUAAUUCUGAAAUUCUAGUUCUACCUGCAAUCCGUUUUAAUCUAUGAAAUGGUCAAUACUCAAAAUUCAACUAAAUCAAGUAUUGAUUACUUGGUUGAAAAAAUAAAAGUUAGUGAUAAUAUAGCUUUGCUUAUAUUGACAAGAAAGAGGUUUCCCGCUAAGGGCAGUUUUCCUACAAAGAGCUGCCUACAAGCUCCCCUUCCCCCACCCCAUCAGAUAUCAUUUCAUUUCUGUGGGAUUAGGGCCAAAGAUCUGUCUUCUGUAACCUCUUCAUGCUGAGAGAGGGCGUCGAGGUCUUAGGGUGAAAGAUGUCAAAAUGUGUUUGAAGCAUCUCUUUUCUGAUAGCUUUCGCUGCCCACUAACAUGUAUGGGCAGAGCAAGCUGCAAUGAUUUUGCUGCCCACAAAGAUAUAGAGUAUUAUGAGCAACAGUGUUAAUCCCACUCUCUCAAGGCCAGUUCUUGGAAUUAUGCAAACCAUUGAUUCACCUGUGCUUAAGAGGGAGCCGCCUGUGUCAUGGCUACAGUCUGGUCAUCAUGCAGUUAGCAUUUUCCUUCUGGUGGCAGUUAUAGUAUCUGUAAAACAGCUCAGGAAUGUGCAUUGACACUGCAUCAGGAACUCUACUGUCCUAAUCCUUAACUGCUUGAACUUGCUCUUUUGUGACCCAGGAAGGCCUGGGAGACUUUAGCUUUAUGACAAACAAGGGGCAGGGGGCAGGGAGGGGCCUUUGUAAUUGAGGGGGUGGAGCAAGGGGUUCUGCUCAGUUUCAUCAGGAUUUGGACCCAGAUCUAUCUGUCUGCGAAACUUGCACCAUGUCCUCUAGGACAUACUGUCUCAAAUCAGAAUUUCGACUCUUAUAAGUUUGAUCUGGAUCUUCCCACGUGAUUUUGGCCAGGUCAUUCAUUCCUGAACCUGGCUGUGGUGAUCAUGAUAGUGUUUCAUCUAUUUGUAGAACAUCUAACAUGGGCUGGCCUCCAGGUGCUCUUCCUAAAUGAUCUCUAACCCUUAUACCCCUCUUGAAGCAGGUGUUUUUUUUCCUCAUUAUACAGCUAACAGAGACUGGAGCUCAGAGGAGGUAAGGGACUUGUCCAAGGUCAUAUGAUCACUAAAGAACAGAGUGAAUCUCUGCCAGAUGCCACAGCACAGGUACUCUGCACUGAGCCAUGCUGCUCUCUGCAAGAAUCCAAUCCUUCAAGGAGCAGUGCAGCUUCCCUGAGGUUGGGGGCAGCGGGGGGAGGUUACAGGCAAUAACAUCUCACAUUUUUAUAGUCAUUUACAAAGUGAUUUCCUCAACACGUGUUUGCUUAUAAGAAGCACUUCAGAGGAGUUCCCUUUGUGGCUCAGUGGUUAAUGAAUCCGACUAGGAACCAUGAGGUUUCGGGUUCAGUCCCUGGCCUUGCUUAGUGGUUUAGGGAUCCAGAGUUGCUGUGAGCUGUGGUGUAGGUUGCAGACGCGGCAGCUUGGAUCCCACGUUGCUGUGGCUCUGGUGUAGGCUGGUGGCUACAGCUCUGAUUAGACCCCUAGCCUGGGAACCUCCAUAUGC
rnacentral:lncRNA from 1 species